AUCAGGGGUAAACCUGUGAAACUCGAACGAACGAACGGGGAGAUUCACCGUAUUUCCGUGUCGUGUGUGAUUCGGAUCCGCGAUGCGAGCGUACGAUACGCGUGUGCGCGUGCGACGAGGUAAAACUUGUCGUGUCGCGUAUACGUUUUCACGUGUCGUAAGUUUUCGUUAUCGUACGAUAGAUCCGCGGAAUGCGUGCACUUCUCCUUUAGUAAAACAUCGCGACCCGUUCUUCGACGAUCGAACGCAUCGUGCGGUUGUCCCGUUUCGAACGUAAAAAAUUCGGUACGGAGCCGCGAUGUCGCGAUCGUUCGAAAGACGGUAAAACACAAGGAUCUCGUUCGCCCCGUGCACACGUGCACACUCGCGUGUGUGUGUGUGUUUAGGAGGCGUACGUUUGACGGACCGUGCGGUUCUCGUUCGACGUCUCGACGUUCAAACGUCGUUAGAUUCGAACGUUGCGUUUAUCGUACGUGUCAUCUCGUCAAAUCUCGUACGGAACGUGUCCCGGUCUGCGAUGGUUUUGUUUCGGGAACUCACAGGACCC
rnacentral:rRNA from 1 species